rnacentral:rRNA from 1 species
AUGCAAGUCGAACGGUAGCACAGAGAGCUUGCUCUCGGGUGACGAGUGGCGGACGGGUGAGUAAUGUCUGGGAAACUGCCUGAUGGAGGGGGAUAACUACUGGAAACGGUAGCUAAUACCGCAUAACGUCGCAAGACCAAAGAGGGGGACCUUCGGGCCUCUUGCCAUCAGAUGUGCCCAGAUGGGAUUAGCCAGCUGGUGAGGUAAUGGCUCACCAGGGCGACGAUCCCUAGCUGGUCUGAGAGGAUGACCAGCCACACUGGAACUGAGACACGGUCCAGACUCCUACGGGAGGCAGCAGUGGGGAAUAUUGCACAAUGGGCGCAAGCCUGAUGCAGCCAUGCCGCGUGUGUGAAGAAGGCCUUCGGGUUGUAAAGCACUUUCAGCGAGGAGGAAGGCAUUAAGGUUAAUAACCUUAUUGAUUGACGUUACUCGCAGAAGAAGCACCGGCUAACUCCGUGCCAGCAGCCGCGGUAAUACGGAGGGUGCAAGCGUUAAUCGGAAUUACUGGGCGUAAAGCGCACGCAGGCGGUCUGUCAAGUCGGAUGUGAAAUCCCCGGGCUCAACCUGGGAACUGCAUUCGAAACUGGCAGGCUUGAGUCUCGUAGAGGGGGGUAGAAUUCCAGGUGUAGCGGUGAAAUGCGUAGAGAUCUGGAGGAAUACCGGUGGCGAAGGCGGCCCCCUGGACAAAGACUGACGCUCAGGUGCGAAAGCGUGGGGAGCAAACAGGAUUAAAUACCCUGGUAGUCC